UGGAGAUGUAGCUCAGUGGUAGAGGUACUUGACUACAAAGCAGGAGGCCCUGAGUUCAAUCCUCAGUACUGCAA
rnacentral:tRNA from 1 species